CACGUAGGGUGCGAAGCGUUGUCCGGAAUUAUUGGGCGUAAAGAGCUCGUAGGCGGUGUGUCGCGUCGGCCGUGAAAACCUGCAGCUUAACUGUGGGCUUGCGGUCGAUACGGGGCAUCACUGGAGUUCGGCAGGGGAGACUGGAAUUCCUGGUGUAGCGGUGAAAUGCGCAGAUAUCAGGAGGAACACCGGUGGCGAAGGCGGGCUCUGGGCCGGUACUGACGCUGAGGAGCGAAAGCGUGGGGAUCAAACAGG
rnacentral:rRNA from 1 species